AUAUCAAUAAGCGGAGGAGAAGAAAUUAACAAGGAUUCCCCUAGUAACGGCGAGUGAAGCGGCAAGAGCUCAAAUUUGAAAUCUGGCUUCGGCCCGAGUUGUAAUUUAUAGAGGCUGUUUUUGGCACGUUUCCUUCCGAGUCCCCUGGAACGGGGCGCCAAAGAGGGUGAGAGCCCCAUACGGUUGGGUAACACGCCUAUGUAAAACACCUUCGACGAGUCGAGUAGUUUGGGAAUGCUGCUCUAAAUGGGAGGUAAAUUCCUUCUAAAGCUAAAUAUUGGCCGGAGACCGAUAGCGCACAAGUA
rnacentral:rRNA from 1 species